GGCGCCGUGGCUUAGUUGGAUAAAGCACAUGUCUAGUAAACAGGAGAUCACGAGUUCGAAUCUCGUCGGUGCCU
rnacentral:tRNA from 1 species